rnacentral:antisense_RNA from 1 species
CUUGAUGGUGGCUGUGCGUAGGGCGUCUUCGGGCGCGCCGGCUUUGAUAUCCACCGGUCUACUAACCUGCGCACAGCUGCCACCUUU